CUUCAGGAAAGUGCGCGCAGAUUCAAAUAAUUGAAUGUUGCACAAUCAUUGGAUGAAUCAUGCCGGGCAGAGACGAUCUUGACCAAUGAUAUUGUUUGACUUCAUGGGGGGCUGUGCUAACGUCAAACUCAUCUCGACGCAGAGACAGUGUGGAUAAUAAUGUAACGCAGGAGUCAGGACUUUUCCACGAUGAUUCACAUUCAGCUUUCACUUAAGGCAAGAUGGAAGAAAGGAGGAUACCAAGAUAAGAAGCUCAAGAAGAUAAAGAAAGCUAAAUUUGACAAGGAUCAACAGACCAGACAGCUCUCCCACAGCCAGCCUGAGAACCUGCUUUACGGUCUGUAUAGCCUGGGUGAAGUUGAAGACUCGUGCAUCAGAUGGCUGAGAAAAGGAUAGCCCAGAGCAAGAGGGAGCCCAGCAGAGGCUAAGAAGGAGGCAGCAAAUGAGUUCACAAACCCACAUACAGCUAA